CAGAGGUAUUACUAUUCCUCCCUCCCUCCAACUUUGAUCGUCCGUCUUAUUUGAAUUUUUUUCAUAACUAGUAUUUUUAUUAUUAUUAGAUAUAAAACAUGAAUAGUACUUUAUGACAGACUUAUGUUUUUUCAAAAAAAAAUCAAAUAAGAUGAACGAUUAAAAUUGGAUAAGGAAACUUAUGGCUGCGCUUAUU
rfam:Oryza meridionalis cultivar OR44 (W2112) chromosome 4, whole genome shotgun sequence.